AGGGGUAUAGUUCUUCGGAGCUAGAGACCGGCGCACGGGUGCGUAACGCGUAUGCAAUCUACCUUUUACAGAGGGAUAGCCCAGAGAAAUUUGGAUUAAUACCUCAUAGUAUGUGAGAAUCGCAUGGUUUUCACAUUAAAGUUCCAACGGUAAAAGAUGAGCAUGCGUCCCAUUAGCUAGAUGGUAAGGUAACGGCUUACCAUGGCGACGAUGGGUAGGGGUCCUGAGAGGGAGAUCCCCCACACUGGUACUGAGACACGGACCAGACUCCUACGGGAGGCAGCAGUGAGGAAUAUUGGACAAUGGGCGCAAGCCUGAUCCAGCCAUGCCGCGUGCAGGAUGACGGUCCUAUGGAUUGUAAACUGCUUUUGUACAGGAAGAAACACUCCCUCGUGAGGGAGCUUGACGGUACUGUAAGAAUAAGGAUCGGCUAACUCCGUGCCAGCAGCCGCGGUAAUACGGAGGAUCCAAGCGUUAUCCGGAAUCAUUGGGUUUAAAGGGUCCGUAGGCGGUUUAAUAAGUCAGUGGUGAAAGCCCAUCGCUCAACGGUGGAACGGCCAUUGAUACUGUUAAACUUGAAUUAUUAGGAAGUAACUAGAAUAUGUAGUGUAGCGGUGAAAUGCUUAGAGAUUACAUGGAAUACCAACUGCGAAGGCAGGUUACUACUAAUGGAUUGACGCUGAUGGACGAAAGCGUGGGUAGCGAACAGGAUUAGAUACCCUGGUAGUCCACGCCGUAAACGAUGGAUACUAGCUGUUGGGCGCAAGUUCAGUGGCUAAGCGAAAGUGAUAAGUAUCCCACCUG
rnacentral:rRNA from 1 species